GAGCCUUGAUCAGAGUAACUGUCUUGGCUACAUUCUUUUCUCUCGCCACCUAGCCCCUCUUCUCUUCCAGGUUUCCAAAAUGCCUUUCCAGGCUAGAACCCAGGUUGUGGUCUGCUGGCCGGACACAACAAUUGGCGAACCAACGCGGGACUGAGAAACGGCAAAGGAUUUUUGGAAGAGACGCUGCUGGUUCGGAGCUCCAUAAAAUAAAGGAUAAGGGAAAUUCAUACCGGAGAAGGUAUGGGCUAAGCUGAGACAGCGUUAAACCCGAGCGCUGGUUCACUUAGGUUCAGCAGUGAGGAGCUGGGUAAUAGGCGGUAGGCCGUAGCUCUCCGAAGCUACAUGAGGUGUGAGAAAAGAAAGGGUUUAUUAAAAGGAAUAGGCGGAUUGCCCCAGUUAAUAAAAAAUGCAUCAUAAGGGAGGAAAGUGUCCCCAAAAGCAGAGAGAAAUUUCUCUCUGGGCCUUAUAGCAAGAGUACUCUGUUCCCUUUUGUGUCUUGUCUAAUGUCCGGUGCACCAAUCUGUUCUCGUGUUCAAUUCAUGUAUGUUCGUGUCCAGUCUGUAUGAAUGAAUGUUCUAUGUUUUGUGUUGGAUAAUAAAGAUGGUAUAAAAAACUUUAUCUGCAAAGCCGAGAGCCACGUGUUUCAGCCAGGAAUCAGACACGUGGCGAGAGGGCCCCUGCUGGAAAAACUGUUCGUUUUAGGAAAUAAGGGCGAGUGCACAGCCUCUAAGUUUCAGAGUAAAAAAGCUAGUAAAUGGUUCAUGAUUAAUGUGUUUGACAAUGGUAAAGUGUUUUUUAUUUUUAUGGUUGUAGCUACAAAAAUUAUUAUUCUCUGAUUGGUCUAAAUGUAACUGCUUCAUUUGGUUCUUUUUUAUUGAUAAUGUGCUCUGAGUGUUUUCACAAUCAGCUCAUAAGUUGUUGGUUAAGAUUAAUAAUUGUUACAUUGCUACAGAUGGUUAGUGUUAAAUUUAAUAACUCAAGUUUAGAGUCCUUCCGACACAUGGCAUAAGGCAGCCCAAGAGGCUGGGUCUCUAAAGAUAUUUCUAGUUUAGGUAAUAAUUAAUGUGGUUCGUAUCCUAAAUAGUAAAAUUUAAAAUAAGAUUUAAAGCAAUGUCUCUUUAUUAAAGCAUUAAAGCUUGCUUUAAUAGGUAUUCAUAGGUAUUAAUUGACAUCCAAACUUCGUAAUAUGAUAGUAAUGCUUCUAAUAUUGAUUUUAAAGAUAAUAAAUUGUUUUAAACUUGGGUUUUGCUUUCCCAAGGUUACAGGUAUUAUCCUAACCUUGCACAAAAAACUUAAAAAUUAUGGUUAAAACUGCUAUUGUUCCAUUGACUGCAGCUUGCAGUUUGACUUCAAAUUUAAGAUCUUUAAUUCACCUGUAUACUGUAAUUAAGAUAAUUACAAGAGUAAUCAUCUUAUGAGAGCGCUCAUACAGCUCACUUCGUACAAAACUGUGACAGAGUUAUCUAGUUAUGUUUGUCUUUGUAAAUAGAUUAGACAAACAGUUUGGUUAUAGUUGCUGCCUGGCAGGAAACUGCAGUACGGGCAAUUUUUUCACAACACUAAAGUUGUGAAGAACGUUUUAACUGUAAGUCAUCUUAAGAAAGAGUAUCAAAAUUUGGAGGCGUAGACAGUUAUAUUGUUUCUCUAGAAUCGGUCCUUAUUACAAGAGGGCCAGGAUGCUCAGAUUAAAAAGUAUUUUACGUUUGAGUCAAUGCAGGGCUCUGGGCAGCCCCAGAGCAGCUUGUGGCCUUUCUUUUGUUUUGCAAACAGUGCCUGAGAAAGAUUUUUCCCUGUGUUCAAGAGAAAUUCUUUUUAACAGUGUUGCAGAUCUAUUCAGAUGUUUAAAAUAAUGCUUAAAUUCAAAGAGUUUUGCUUCUAGUGAACUGUAAUCACUAGAAAAUUUUGCCUCUAGGUAUGGCUAAUGUAACUUUACAUUAUGUAAGAAAAAAUUGUUAUUGUUUCUGCUUCUAUACAAGAAGCCAAGAUUUUUAAUCUUUCAGUGUAUAUUGUUUCCUAAGUGAAAAGUAUUUUAUUAACUAAUGCUUCUUGAAGUUUACCUUAAAUCCUUGCUCUCACCCAAAAGAUUCAGAGACAAUAUCCUUUUAUUACUUAGGGUUUUAGUUUACUACAAAAGUUUCUACAAAAAAUAAAGCUUUUAUAAUUGUUAUUAAUUGGUAAUUAAAAAUUGGUUGUGCCCAAAACAAUUCUUUGGCCAAAAAGAAAACAUUAUUGUAAAGUCAUUUUUCUCAUCCUCCCAGCCGAUCGUUGGCCCACGUGGGCCCAACUAGCUUCUGUGGGGCGGAGUCUUAAGACACAGUUUCCCCUGUUCCAGCACAGAUGAUCUAGUUGUGUGCUGUAGAUGGUGUUUUAAAAUGCUGAACAAUCAAACCUUAAUUUGUAUAUUAAUAGUCAAUGCCAUAUCUCUGAGCUCGCAAUUGCUUAAAUUGUUCAUCCCUCAGAUACUAUUAAUUCUCAAAUUUACAAUUGCUUAUGCAUAUUUCUAGUUAAUAAAUAAAUUAUGCACAUGUGACUCUUAAUAACUUUGCAAGCCUUCUAGUUACAACUGCUCCUUAAGAAAAUUGAUUAAAAGUGCAAUUAGUCACUGCCCCUUUACAGCCAAGUAUUUAAAAUGUUUUGUCAACUAGUUAUUAAUUCAAAGGUUUAGGUAUUGUAAAAUUUUAAAACUUUAACUUCUUAAAAGACAAAAAAGAGAGAAAUUGUAUCUCCGUGCAUACUAUUUAGUGCAUUCCCAUGCACACUAUUUAAGUCUUACCUUUAUUUUCAAAAUCUAAUAUUUUAAUGUCAAAGAGUUUAAUAAAUGCUUUAUAGUAUCUUAAAGGGAUCUACUUAUUGGCUUAUAGAUUGAUCCUAAAACAGCUACCUUAUUAGAAAAGGGAAAAACAGGUUUUCUCCACAAAACGCUUCAAAAACAUAUUAAUUCGUGUGACGAGCUGGUAGGUAAGUUGACUCAUGUCCUGAUUGUAUUGACUAAAAAACUAAAUUAAAUUCAUGUUUUAGAUCCAUCCUUACUUGUCAUUUUUCCAGUUUAGACUAGCUUCUAGCCUUUUAACUUUAUGGCAAUAGUACAUCAGAGACUGUAUAUUCAGACUUAGUAAAAUUAGUCAUUUAAUAGAGUCAUAAUGAUUUUUCUCCUUUCUUCAGUGUGACCAGCCAUUCUAACUCAAUCUCAGACUGGUCUAAUAUUCAGUCCAAUGUUAGAGAUUCCUAUAUUCUAAAUUACCUAGCAAAGUUAAUUCAGAGCACAUCCCCCACUUCCCCUAGAUCCAUAACCUCAGAAGGAUUGCUGGCCUUACAGCUAGU
rnacentral:lncRNA from 1 species